GGUAGUAGCAAAUAAUCGAAUGAGACCUUGGAGGACUGAAGUGGAGAAGGGUUUCGUGUGAACAGUGGUUGAUCACGAGUUAGUCGGUCCUAAGUUCAAGGCGAAAGCCGAAAAUUUUCAAGUAAAAAAUCAGUGAGUAAUAUUGUCAAAUCUUUUAUGAUUUUUAAAUACUUGAAUAAUUUUGAACGAAAGGGAAUACGGUUCCAAUUCCGUAACCUGUUGAGUAUCCGUUUGUUAUUAAAUAUGGGCCUCGUGCUCAUAGAUGGUAGAUGGGCUAGAAGAGCAUGACAUAUACUGUUGUGUCGAUAUGUCUCCUCGGACCUUGAAAAUGUAUGGUGGGGACACGCAAACUUCUCAACAGGCCGUACCAAUAUCCGCAGCUGGUUUCCAAUGUGAAGAGUCUCUAGUC
rnacentral:ncRNA from 1 species